AACGCUGGCGGCAGGCCUAAMACAUGCAAGUCGAGCGGCAGCGGGUAAGUAGCUUGYUACUUUUGCCGGMGAGCGGCGGACGGGUGAGUAAYGCCUGGGGAUCUGCCCAGUCGAGGGGGAUAACUACUGGAAACGGUAGCUAAUACCGCAUWCGCCCUACGGGGGAAAGCAGGGGACCUUCGGGCCUUGCRCGRUUGGAUGAACCCAGGUGGGAUUAGCUAGUUGGUGAGGUAACGGCUCACCAAGGCGACGAUCCCUAGCUGGUCUGAGAGGAUGAUCAGCCACACUGGAACUGAGACACGGUCCAGACUCCUACGGGAGGCAGCAGUGGGGAAUAUUGCACAAUGGGGGAAACCCUGAYGCAGCCAUGCCGCGUGUGUGAAGAAGGCCUUCGGGUUGUAAAGCACUUUCAGCGAGGAGGAAAGGUCAGUARCUAAUAUCUGCUGGCUGUGACGUUMCUCGCAGAAGAAGCACCGGCUAACUCC
rnacentral:rRNA from 1 species